rnacentral:rRNA from 1 species
GACGAACUGUGCAAACGUUAUUCGGAAUCACUGGGCUUAAAGGGUGCGUAGGCGGUCUGUUAAGUAGGGUGUGAAAGCCUCUGGCUCAACCAGAGAAUUGCGCCCUAAACUGUCAGGCUUGAGUGAGGUAGGGGUGUGUGGAACUUCCAGUGGAGCGGUGAAAUGUGUUGAUAUUGGAAGGAACGCCGGUGGCGAAAGCGACACACUGGACCUUGUCUGACGCUGAGGCACGAAAGCCAGGGGAGCAAACGGG